rnacentral:rRNA from 1 species
UACGUAGGGAGCAAGCGUUGUCCGGAAUCAUUGGGCGUAAAGCGCGCGUAGGUGGCUUCGUAAGUCCGUUGUGAAAGUCAAAGGCUCAACCUUUGAAUGCCGAUGGAUACUGCGGAGCUAGAGUACGGAAGAGGCGAGUGGAAUUCCUGGUGUAGCGGUGAAAUGCGCAGAUAUCAGGAAGAACACCCGUGGCGAAGGCGGCUCUCUGGGACGGUACUGACGCUGAGACGCGAAAGCGUGGGGAGCGAACAGG